UACGGAGGGAGCUAGCGUUGUUCGGAAUUACUGGGCGUAAAGCGCACGUAGGCGGCUUUGUAAGUCAGAGGUGAAAGCCCGGGGCUCAACCCCGGAAUUGCCUUUAAGACUGCAUCGCUUGAAUCCGGGAGAGGUGAGUGGAAUUCCGAGUGUAGAGGUGAAAUUCGUAGAUAUUCGGAAGAACACCAGUGGCGAAGGCGGCUCACUGGACCGGUAUUGACGCUGAGGUGCGAAAGCGUGGGGAGCAAACAGG
rnacentral:rRNA from 1 species